rnacentral:rRNA from 1 species
GCAGUAGGGAAUCUUCCGCAAUGGACGAAAGUCUGACGGAGCAACGCCGCGUGAGUGACGAAGGUUUUCGGAUCGUAAAACUCUGUUGUGAGGGAAGAACAAGUACCAACUAACUACUGGUACCUUGACGGUACCUCACCAGAAAGCCACGGCUAACUACGUGCCAGCAGCCGCGGUAAUACAUAGGUGGCAAGCGUUGUCCGGAAUUAUUGGGCGUAAAGCGCGCGCAGGCGGUCCCUUAAGUCUGAUGUGAAAGCCCACGGCUCAACCGUGGAGGGUCAUUGGAAACUGGGGGACUUGAGUGCAGAAGAGGAAAGUGGAAUUCCAUGUGUAGCGGUGAAAUGCGUAGAGAUGUGGAGGAACACCAGUGGCGAAGGCGACUUUCUGGUCUGUAACUGACGCUGAGGCGCGAAAGCGUGGGGAGCAAACAGGAUUAGAUACCCUGGUAGUCCACGCCGUAAACGAUGAGUGCUAAGUGUUAGGGGGUUUCCGCCCCUUAGUGCUGCAGCUAACGCAUUAAGCACUCCGCCUGGGGAGUACGGCCGCAAGGCUGAAACUCAAAGGAAUUGACGG